rnacentral:rRNA from 1 species
GGCGAACGCUGGCGGCGUGCUUAACACAUGCAAGUCGCGCGGAAAGGCCCUUCGGGGUACUCGAGCGGCGAACGGGUGAGUAACACGUGAGUAAUCUGCCCUGUGCUUCGGGAUAGCCACCGGAAACGGUGAUUAAUACCGGAUAUGACAUGCUCCUGCAUGGGGGUGUGUGGAAAGUUUUUCGGCGCAGGAUGUGCUCGCGGCCUAUCAGCUUGUUGGUGGGGUAAUGGCCUACCAAGGCUUCGACGGGUAGCCGGCCUGAGAGGGUGACCGGCCAGGCUGGGACUGAGACACGGCCCAGACUCCUACGGGAGGCAGCAGUGGGGAAUAUUGGACAAUGGGCGGAAGCCUGAUCCAGCAACGCUGCGUGAGGGAUGACGGCCUUCGGGUUGUAAACCUCUUUCAGCACCGACGAAGCGAAAGUGACGGUACCUGCAGAAAAAGCACCGGCUAACUACGUGCCAGCAGCCGCCGUAAAAC